UACGUAGGGUGCGAGCGUUAAUCGGAUUUACUGGGCGUAAAGGGCGUGUAGGCGGUUUUCUAAGUCCGGGGCUAAAGACCAGGGCUCAACCCUGGGUUUGCCUUGGAUACUGGAAAGCUCGACGGCUGGAGGGGGCAGCGGAAUUUCCGGAGUAGCGGUGAAAUGCGCAGAUACCGGAAGGAACGCCAAUAGCGAAGGCAGCUGCCUGGACAGUACGUGACGCUGAGGAGCGAAAGCGUGGGGAGCAAACCGG
rnacentral:rRNA from 1 species